AGCAGCCGCGGUAAUUCCAGCUCCAAUAGCGUAUAUUAAAGUUGUUGCAGUUAAAAAGCUCGUAGUUGAAUUUCGGGGUUAGUAGGUUGGUCAUGCCUCUGGUAUGUACUGGUCUCACUGAUUCCUCCUUCCUGAUGAGCCGUAAUGCCAUUAAUUUGGUGUUGCGGGGAAUUUGGACUGUUACUUUGAAAAAUUAGAGUGUUUAAAGCAAGCUAACGCUUGAAUACAUUAGCAUGGAAUAAUGAAAUAGGACGUUCGAUCCUAUUUUGUUGGUUUCUAGGAUUGACGUAAUGAUUAAUAGGGAUAGUUGGGGCAUUAGUAUUCAAUUGUCAGAGGUGAAAUUCUUGGAUUUAUUGAAGACUAACUACUGCGAAAGCAUUUGCCAAGGAUGUUUUCAUUAAUACAAGAACGAAAGUUAGGGGAUCGAAGACGAUCAGA
rnacentral:rRNA from 1 species